GGCUGGUCUGAGUGCAUAGUGUUUACAAAUAAUUGAUCACAACCAAUUACAGAUUCCUUUAUUCUUUCUCCACUCCCUCUGCUUCACUUGACUAGCCUAAA
rnacentral:Y_RNA from 1 species